UGGGGUAUAGCCAAGUGGUAAGGCAACAGACUUUGACUCUGUCAUUCGUUGGUUCGAUCCCAACUACCCCAGCCA
rnacentral:tRNA from 1 species